rnacentral:rRNA from 1 species
UAAGCGGACAGUGAAAUUGUGUGGCUCAACCAUACCCACAUUGUCUGAACUGCUAAGCUUGAGUAUGAGAGAGGUAGAUGGAAUUCCCUGUGUAGGAGUGAAAUCCGUAGAUAUAGGGAGGAACACCGAUGGCGUAGGCAGUCUACUGGCUCAUUACUGACACUAAGGCACGAAAGCGUGGGAGCAAACGGGAUUAGAUACCCCGGUAGUCCACGCCGUAAACUAUGGAUGCUA